AUUGAACGCUGGCGGCAGGCCUAACACAUGCAAGUAGAGCGAGCGGAGGACGGGUGUGUAAUGUAUGGGGACUGCCCGAUAGAGGGGGAUAACUACUGGAAACGGUAGCUAAUACCGAAUACUAUCGGCUAACCAAUAUGGGAUUAGCUAGUAGGUGAGGUAAUGGCUCACCUAGGCGACGAUCCCUAGCUGGUCUGAGAGGAUGAUCAAACAGAAGUGGACUGAGAAAAGGACAAGACUCCUACGGAGGCAGGAGUCGGUAAUAUUGCACAAGAGGUGGAAGCUUGAUGCAGCCAUGCCGGGUGUAUGAAGAGGGCCCUAGGGUUGUAGAGUAAUUUCAAGCGGGAGGCGUUACCGACAGAAGCAGCACCGGCUAGCUCCGUGACAGCAGCCGCGGGAAUUC
rnacentral:rRNA from 1 species